CCCCACAUAGACCCCUUCAACUGUACUGAGAACUUCUAUAACACUAUAGAACCUUUAAUGCUAAAACUAGUAACAAGAGUUACCCCCUCUCCACAAUGCAAGUAUAAGCCAGCAAGAACCCACCACUGGCAACUAACAGACCUAAACAAAAGUAACAACUAUACCGGAAAACUCUACUUUACCCCCUGUUAACCUUACACCAGAGCAUUUCAAGAAAGAUUAAAAGAAAAAGAAGGAACUCGGCAAACAUUAGCCCCGCCUGUUUACCAAAAACAUCGCCUCUUGCCCAUAUAAGAGGUCUAGCCUGCCCAGUGACUCUUGUUCAACGGCCGCGGUAUCCUAACCGUGCGAAGGUAGCGUAAUCACUUGUCUUCUAAAUAAAGACCAGUAUGAAAGGCAUCACGAGGGCUAAACUGUCUCCUUUCCCUAAUCAGUGAACCUAAUCUCCCCGUGAAGAAGCGGGGAUUAUUAAAUAAGACGAGAAGACCCUGUGGAGCUUUAAACAUCACAACACCUGCCUUACACUUUAUCUACCCAGGUAUGCCCCCUUCCAGCACGCUGAUUGUAUGUUUUCGGUUGGGGUGACCGCGGAGAAAAACUAAUCCUCCGCAAUGAAAGGGAUCUUCCCUAAACAAUAAGCCACAACUUUAUGUAUCCAUAAAUUGACAUUCAUUGACCCAAUACAUUUGAUUAACGAACCAAGUUACCCCAGGGAUAACAGCGCAAUCCACUUCAAGAGCCCCUAUCGACAAGUGGGCUUACGACCUCGAUGUUGGAUCGGGGUAUCCUAGUGGUGCAGCCGCUACUAAAGGUUCGUUUGUUCAACGAUUAAAACCCUACGUGAUCU
rnacentral:rRNA from 1 species